CCUACGGGGUGCAGCAGUGGGGAAUAUUGGACAAUGGGCGAAAGCCUGAUCCAGCCAUGCCGCGUGUGUGAAGAAGGCCUUCGGGUUGUAAAGCACUUUCAGUGGGGAAGAAAGCCUUGGGGCUAAUACCCUCGAGGAAGGACAUCACCCACAGAAGAAGCACCGGCUAACUCCGUGCCAGCAGCCGCGGUAAUACGGAGGGUGCGAGCGUUAAUCGGAAUUACUGGGCGUAAAGCGCGCGUAGGCGGUCUGAUAAGCCGGUUGUGAAAGCCCCGGGCUCAACCUGGGAACGGCAUCCGGAACUGUCGGGCUAGAGUGCAGGAGAGGAAGGUAGAAUUCCCGGUGUAGCGGUGAAAUGCGUAGAGAUCGGGAGGAAUACCAGUGGCGAAGGCGGCCUUCUGGACUGACACUGACGCUGAGGUGCGAAAGCGUGGGUAGCAAACAGGAUUAGAUACCCGAGUAGUC
rnacentral:rRNA from 1 species